rnacentral:rRNA from 1 species
UACGUAGGGUGCAAGCGUUGUCCGGAAUUAUUGGGCGUAAAGAGCGUGUAGGCGGCCAGACAGGUCAAGCGUGUGAAAACUCGAGGCUCAACCUCGAGACGUCGGUUGAAACCGUCUGGCUAGAGUCCGGAAGAGGAGAGUGGAAUUCCCGGUGUAGCGGUGAAAUGCGCAGAUAUCGGGAAGAACACCCGUGGCGAAGGCGGCUCUCUGGGACGGUACUGGACGCUGAGACGCGAAAAGCGUGGGGGAGCGAACGAGGA